UCAUUCGCAUUUCAUUCGCAUUCCUUAAUCUAUAAUCCAUUGUCGUCUCUACGUAAUCUACUUACAUCAUCUCUAAUUGAGUCAAUUUCGACUAUUAUUCGAGUACCGAUUUGGAAACUCUAGUCGGAGUUUGCGUUACCUGAGAGAUUUUUCAGAAGCGAAAAAGCGAAGAUGAAGUCUUGCAUCUAUAUUUGUGAGGGAUGUUAACUAUUCGAAGAUCUAAAACUCCAAAUUUAGAGUUUCUGACUUUAGCAGAGGGAUUUUGUCAGACUUCUGUGUAUUUCCCCUUAGCAGGUGUGGAUUAUUUGGUUGCAUGCGUAGGUUCAAACAAUCUACCUGGUUGUCUCAUAUCUCAGAUAAGUCUGUAGAUUUAAUUACAAUGUACUAAAAAGAGAUUUUUCCUAUCAAUUAUUCUAGUGACUAUUGAAAGAUAACUAAUUAUUUGUAAAGAUAAUCCGAUCAGAGUAUUUCAAUUUCGCAGACGAAGUUGUGCAAUGUAUAUCAACACUGUAAUUCUAAGAUCAUCAAUACAUGGACUCUUGCUGGUGAUGGACAACCUUCAUCAAUCCAGAUUACGGUGACUCAAAUCUCGGGUUCCAAGAGGAACCUUGCCACUUUGCCAGGAAUGCAAAAUGACAAUUAUAAUCCACUUCUACCAAAUGGCAAAAGCUAUAAGUUAAAAGAAAAACAAAUUUAAUAGGAAGCAAAUUCCAGAUUCAGUCAAUGGUACGCCCACAUUCCCAUUUCAUUUAUACAAUCAAUUGGUGCACACUAUGAUCAGUAUGAGUAAACACAUUCAUUCGCUAUUCAAUCAAAAUUAGAAGUGGAAGGCUUACCCGCUAUUAUAUCCGCAAAUGAGAUCCCCUUAUUCAGUUGUAGUCCUGCCAGGGCUCUUGCUUCUCCCUUAAUUGCAGCCUCAGAGAGCUUAUGUUGCUCUGUGAGAGCUCUUGCUUCUCCCUUAAUUGUAGCCUCAGAGAGCUUAUGUUACUCUGUGAUCUUUAAUAUGACAAACUCCUCAAAGCCUGGCUCCGACUCCACAGAUUCCCUCAGCGUCUCCCAGAAUGCGCAGAAUGUAUAGAGGGACAAUGAUGAUGAAGCUUUGGAGCUAUAGUGUAUCUGUAAAUAAUAUAUAGAGUUUUUUCCACUUUUGGUCCUAUGACUUUAGUGCCUCCGUCAAUUUAGGUUCACAACUUUCGUUCCUGACAUAAGUAGUGCUUGACUUUGAUUUUUUUUUCCACUUUUAGUCCUUCCGGUCAUCUGAGUGACUACUUUUAAUCGAAAUAAAUAAAUUGUUAUUUAUAUUUAGAUUUAA